UGGGGAAUCUUGCACAAUGGGCGAAAGCCUGAUGCAGCGACGCCGCGUGGGGGAUGAAGCUUUUCGGAGUGUAAACCCCUUUCGACUGGGACGAAACCCCGCAAGGGAUUGACGGUACCAGUAUAAGAAGCCCCGGCUAACUACGUGCCAGCAGCCGCGGUAAGACGUAGGGGGCCAGCGUUGUUCGGAAUUACUGGGUGUAAAGGGUUCGUAGGCGGUGCGGCAAGUUGGGAGUGAAAUCUCUGGGCUCAACCCAGAGGCUGCUUCCAAAACUGCUGUGCUUGAGUGUGAGAGAGGCUCGUGGAAUUGCAGGUGUAGCGGUGAAAUGCGUAGAUAUCUGCAGGAACACCCGUGGCGAAAGCGGCGAGCUGGAUCACUACUGACGCUGAGGAACGAAAGCUAGGGGAGCAAACAGGAUUAGAUACCCUGGUAGUCCUAGCCCUAAACGACCAGGACUUGGGGUGCCGCCCGUUCGGGCGUCGUCCCGGAGCUAACGCGUUAAGUCCUGCACCUGGGGAGUACGGUCGCAAGACUG
rnacentral:rRNA from 1 species